rnacentral:rRNA from 1 species
CCUACGGGGGGCAGCAGUGGGGAAUAUUGCACAAUGGGCGCAAGCCUGAUGCAGCCAUGCCGCGUGUGUGAAGAAGGCCUUCGGGUUGUAAAGCACUUUCAGCGGGGAGGAAGGCGUUAAGGUUAAUAACCUUGUCGAUUGACGUUACCCGCAGAAGAAGCACCGGCUAACUCCGUGCCAGCAGCCGCGGUAAUACGGAGGGUGCAAGCGUUAAUCGGAAUUACUGGGCGUAAAGCGCACGCAGGCGGUCUGUCAAGUCGGAUGUGAAAUCCCCGGGCUCAACCUGGGAACUGCAUUCGAAACUGGCAGGCUAGAGUCUUGUAGAGGGGGGUAGAAUUCCAGGUGUAGCGGUGAAAUGCGUAGAGAUCUGGAGGAAUACCGGUGGCGAAGGCGGCCCCCUGGACAAAGUCUGACGCUCAGGUGCGAAAGCGUGGGGAGCAAACAGGAUUAGAUACCCGGGUAGUC